UCGAACGGGAAUCCGGUGCUGUAGCAAUACAAUGCCGGUGAGAGUGGCGCAAGGGUGAGUAACGCGUGGGUAACCUGCCCCCAGGUUGGGGAUAACCCCGCGAAAGCGGGGCUAAUACCGAAUGUGGUGGUGCCGCGCAUGCGGCAUUGACUAAAGGUGGGGACCCUUCGGGGCCUGCCGCCAAGGGAGGGGCCCGCGUACCAUCAGCUUGUUGGUGAGGUAACGGCUCACCAAGGCUUACGGUUAGCUGGUCUGAGAGGAUGGUCAGCCACACUGGGACUGAGACACUGCCCAGACUCCUACGGGAGGCUGCAGUCGAGGAUCUUCUGCAAUGGGCGCAAGCCUGACAGAGCGACGCUGCGUGGAGGAUGAAGGCCUUCGGGUUGUAAACUCCUGUCUUUCGGGAACAAUUGAUCCGGCGUGAAUAGCGUCGGAUCUUGAUGGUACCGGAGGAGGAAGCCACGGCUAACUCUGUGCCAGCAGCCGCGGUAAUACAGAGGUGGCGAGCGUUGUUCGGAUUUACUGGGCGUAAAGGGCGCGUAGGCGGCUCCGUGUGUCGGACGUGAAAUCCCACGGCUCAACCGUGGAACUGCAUUCGAAACUGCGGGGCUCGAGUACAGGAGAGGAGAGCGGA
rnacentral:rRNA from 1 species